CCUACGGGUGGCAGCAGUGGGGAAUAUUGGACAAUGGGGGGAACCCUGAUCCAGCGACGCCGCGUGAGUGAAGAAGUAUUUCGGUAUGUAAAGCUCUAUCAGCAGGGAAGAAAAUGACGGUACCUGACUAAGAAGCCCCGGCUAACUACGUGCCAGCAGCCGCGGUAAUACGUAGGGGGCAAGCGUUAUCCGGAUUUACUGGGUGUAAAGGGAGCGUAGACGGUGCCGCAAGUCUGAUGUGAAAGGUCGGGGCCCAAACCCGGGACUGGAUGUGAAACUGUGUAACGGGAGUACAGGGGAGGUAAGCGGAAGUCCUAGUGUAGGGGGGAAAUGCGGAGAGAUAAGGUGGAACGCCAGUGGCGAAGGCGGCUGACUGGACUGAAACUGACGGUGAGGCUCGAAGGCGUGGGGAGCAAACAGGAGUAGAUACCCCGGUAGUC
rnacentral:rRNA from 1 species